rfam:Ordospora colligata OC4 contig_03, whole genome shotgun sequence.
GCCCCUGUAGUGUAGUGGUUAUCACGCGUCCCUUACUAGGACGAGGUCCUUGGUUCGAUCCCGAGUGGGGGCA